GCUGGCGAUGUUGUUUCCACUUUUGCUGCACAGCCGUUGACUUGAGUAGAUUACAGCUCCGGUGGGCAAGGAAGGGACCCUCGCCUAUGUCCGGAACCCAAUGGAAGGUGAUGAGGGAUCCAAAGAUUGAGCUGAAAGAUGGGAAGACUGAGACGCCCCGCCUCUCCAGCUGGAAGGUCUGGGCAGAGACCGAAGUUCCCCUGGAGGCCUCCGGAUCCAGCUAGUCUCCCGGCGCUGAGUUUCGUCUCUACUAAUUUUGACAAGCAUUCGUAUUGCAACUACGACAGCCCUGUUUGUCUUUUAGGGAAAAUAAGAUAAAGAAACUGAGGAAGAGAGCACUAAGUAACUUGAUCAAGGCCACAGCUGGUGACAUACUCUCAAGAAACAUAGGAAAAGUUACUAGUUUUUCAGCUUAUUCCCUCACAUUUUUAUCUAUUUCAAAGCAUGUUAUCUAAGGGGCAAAACAUUAAGCCUCAAUGUUACUAUUCUACAAUAAUAACAUGGAAGUUAAAACGGAUUAAAUUCUCAUGGCCAGACCCAUUACUCUAAGCCUGGGAAAACAGUAGGGGGUUGGAGCAGUGUGAAGAUAGGAAAGUUACAGGUACACUUGGGUUGCAAAGUCUUUGUCACCAACCCCCAAACACUCAGAAGUCAAGCCAGAGCCCAGAAUCAGUCAGCAAACUUUCUUGCUACUAAACAACCUUGGAUCAUCAGAGGUUAGUAAAUAACUGGGUUAGAAAAGACUACCUCCCACCCCAAUAUGUAACCUCAAAAAUCUGUCCUGCCUUACUUGUUCAUACUAAUUGAUGGGAUACCCAUCUGUAAACCUUGAGCUUGAAUCUCAUCAUGUUUAUAAGGAUAUCAUUUUUUAAUGUAAAUAGCUAGACUCUU